UGUGCUAAAGAGAGAGCGAUCGCCACCGUCGUCAUGCUGGUGUGUCUGGUGUUGACACUGUGUGCUGCAUUCUGGUGGAAGAAUAACGGCCUCGCUCUGCUCUUCUGCGUGAUGCAGUUUCUGGCGUUCACCUGGUACGGCCUCUCCUACAUCCCCUUCGCCAGGGACGCCGUCGUCAAGUUAUUCUCCCUCUGCCUUUAGAAGCCCCGCCCCUCUGAGUGACCUGGCCAAUCAGGACGCAGAACACUCUGAAGUGUGUAUCCAGUGAGCGGCGAGGAGCGGCAAGGAGCGGCUCUUCCUUUGAACUGAUCGGCCUUCAAACAUUUCCCCCUCUGAGCGCACAGAGGUUCAAUCAGGUGUUCUUAGACCACAUCGGACCUGGUCCUGUGGAGACCAGUCAGCACUACCUGUACAGUUUGUUGUUGUGUUGUCAUGACUGUUACCUCUCUGUCGUUAUAGGACUGAUUCCCAACCUGAUAUUUAUACUAUUUAUAUUAUAAUGCAUCUUACACGAACAGAUGAUCUCUGGAUCGUGAACAAAGAAGUCUGCAACAUUUCAGGAGCGAUUUUAAAACCCAUAUUUAACAUUUUAAGCCUUAUCUUUAAUAACUUUAAUAAUGAUCUGCAGCUUUCUGAGCAGGUAGAUUUAAAGUCUUAGAUCAUUCCUGUAGAGGCGCUGAAGGCAGACUGAGCAUCUCUGAGAGCCAAUAAGCACAAAGCAUCAUGCAUCAGCGUGUGUUCAUGCUGCAGGUGGACUGUCCUCAGGUGUGUUCAGACCAAACGCUUCAUUAAAAAACAAAACAAGCAUUUUAAA